rnacentral:lncRNA from 1 species
AAACGUCAAAAAAGCAAAAGGGAGGGGAUGCAACACGAGGACUUCCCAGGAGGUCACCCAUCCUAGUACUACUCUCGCCCAAACUCGCUUAACUUCGGAGUUCUGAUGGGAUCCGGUGCAUGUGAGUUGGUAUGAUCGCAUCUGUUAGCUUGUAACGCCAAAUUGUAUAAGAGCCACGUUUGUGCCGUGCCAUGUGACCAUGGGUUGGCUAUCCAACGCCCCCCUCCGGGCCGCGUGAAAUCACAUGCCGUCGCAUGGAAUGUCAGGCCUUGUCGUCCCCACCCCGGCCCUGUGCCACGGGCAGGCCUGUCGAGGCCCCGGUUCCAAUCGGCCGCGGGGCCUGGCUAACACAGUUGAACCGAAAAGAAGUUCCCCAACAGUUUCGGCAGUGCGUCGGUCCCGCUGUUUUUUCGCUUUCGUUCCUUUCCGGAGCCUAGUUAGUUGGAGGCGAGCUCCACGGGGUGACGUAGGAUGAGGAGCUGGAGCGGCGCGCGUGACGCGGCAAGUCGGGUAAACCGCAGAUCUGGGCUCCGACCUCAGAAUUGGGCCCACGAACCCUCGGCCGGAAGAGAACGGCGUCACGAGUAAAACUCAUUGCGUUGCCAUGACCUGUGGGCUUUUUCGGGCAUCCGACAUCGUUUACUAGCCCGAAAUCCAAUUCUCGCAGUUUUCGAAAACUCUGUUAUUUUCCCACUUCAAUUCCGCUGUUAAUCCAAGGCUUUCUAGGAGUAUUUGAGCAAACUUUACCCAGAUUGCCACGCUGCGUCACGGGGCCGCGGAAAAACAAAGAACAGCCACGGCGGAAAGCGGACGUCCGCGACAAUCGAAACGUCAAAAAAGCAAAAGGGAGGGGAUGCAACACGAGGACUUCCCAGGAGGUCACCCAUCCUAGUACUACUCUCGCCCAAACUCGCUUAACUUCGGAGUUCUGAUGGGAUCCGGUGCAUGUGAGUUGGUAUGAUCGCAUCCGUUAGCUUGUAACGCCAAAUUGUAUAAGAGCCACGUUUGUGCCGUGCCAUGUGACCAUGGGUUGGCUAUCCAACGCCCCCCUCCGGGCCGCGUGAAAUCACAUGCCGUCGCAUGGAAUGUCAGGCCUUGUCGUCCCCACCCCGGCCCUGUGCCACGGGCAGGCCUGUCGAGGCCCCGGUUCCAAUCGGCCGCGGGGCCUGGCUAACACAGUUGAACCGAAAAGAAGUUCCCCAACAGUUUCGGCAGUGCGUCGGUCCCGCUGUUUUUUCGCUUUCGUUCCUUUCCGGAGCCUAGUUAGUUGGAGGCGAGCUCCACGGGGUGACGUAGGAUGAGGAGCUGGAGCGGCGCGCGUGACGCGGCAAGUCGGGUAAACCGCAGAUCUGGGCUCCGACCUCAGAAUUGGGCCCACGAACCCUCGGCCGGAAGAGAACGGCGUCACGAGUAAAACUCAUUGCGUUGCCAUGACCUGUGGGCUUUUUCGGGCAUCCGACAUCGUUUACUAGCCCGAAAUCCAAUUCUCGCAGUUUUCGAAAACUCUGUUAUUUUCCCACUUCAAUUCCGCUGUUAAUCCAAGGCUUUCUAGGAGUAUUUGAGCAAACUUUACCCAGAUUGCCACGCUGCGUCACGGGGCCGCGGAAAAACAAAGAACAGCCACGGCGGAGAGCGGACGUCCGCGACAAUCGAAACGUCAAAAAAGCAAAAGGGAGGGGAUGCAACACGAGGACUUCCCAGGAGGUCACCCAUCCUAGUACUACUCUCGCCCAAACUCGCUCAACUUCGGAGUUCUGAUGGGAUCCGGUGCAUGUGAGUUGGUAUGAUCGCAUCCGUUAGCUUGUAACGCCAAAUUGUAUAAGAGCCACGUUUGUGCCGUGCCAUGUGACCAUGGGUUGGCUAUCCAACGCCCCCCUCCGGGCCGCGUGAAAUCACAUGCCGUCGCAUGGAAUGUCAGGCCUUGUCGUCCCCACCCCGGCCCUGUGCCACGGGCAGGCCUGUCGAGGCCCCGGUUCCAAUCGGCCGCGGGGCCUGGCUAACACAGUUGAACCGAAAAGAAGUUCCCCAACAGUUUCGGCGGUGCGUCGGUCCCGCUGUUUUUUCGCUUUCGUUCCUUUCCGGAGCCUAGUUAGUUGGAGGCGAGCUCCACGGGGUGACGUAGGACAGAUGGCGGAAGCAACUGAAGAGGAGCUGGAGCGGCGCGCGUGACGCGGCAAGUCGGGUAAACCGCAGAUCUGGGCUCCGACCUCAGAAUUGGGCCCACGAACCCUCGACCGGAAGAGAACGGCGUCACGAGUAAAACUCAUUGCGUUGCCAUGACCUGUGGGCUUUUUCGGGCAUCCGACAUCGUUUACUAGCCCGAAAUCCAAUUCUCGCAGUUUUCGAAAACUCUGUUAUUUUCCCACUUCAAUUCCGCUGUUAAUCCAAGGCUUUCUAGGAGUAUUUGAGGAAACUUUACCCAGAUUGCCACGCUGCGUCACGGGGCCGCGGAAAAACAAAGAACAGCCACGGCGGAAAGCGGACGCCCGCGACAAUCGAAACGUCAAAAAAGCAAAAGGGAGGGGAUGCAACACGAGGACUUCCCAGGAGGUCACCCAUCCUAGUACUACUCUCGCCCAAACUCGCUUAACUUCGGAGUUCUGAUGGGAUCCGGUGCAUGUGAGUUGGUAUGAUCGCAUCCGUUAGCUUGUAACGCCAAAUUGUAUAAGAGCCACGUUUGUGCCGUGCCAUGUGACUAUGGGUUGGCUAUCCAACGCCCCCCUCCGGGCCGCGUGAAAUCACAUGCCGUCGCAUGGAAUGUCAGGCCUUGUCGUCCCCACCCCGGCCCUGUGCCACGGGCAGGCCUGUCGAGGCCCCGGUUCCAAUCGGCCGCGGGGCCUAGCUAACGACAAUUGAACCGAAAAGAAGUUCCCCAACAGUUUCGGCAGUGCGUCGGUCCCGCUGUUUUUUCGUUUUCGUUCCUUUCCGGAGCCUAGUUAGUUGGAGGCGAGCUCCACGGGGUGACGUAGGACAGAUGGCGGAAGCAACUGAAGAGGAGCUGGAGCGGCGCGCGUGAAGCGGCAAGUCGGGUAAACCGCAGAUCUGGGCUCCGACCUCAGAAUUGGGCCCACGAACCCUCGACCGGAAGAGAAUGGCGUCCACGAGUAAAACUCAUCGCGUUGCCAUGACCUGUGGGCUUUUUCGGGCAUCCGACAUCGUUUACUAGCCCGAAAUCCAAUUCUCGCAGUUUUCGAAAACUCUGUUAUUUUCCCACUUCAAUUCCGCUGUUAAUCCAAGGCUUUCUAGGAGUAUUUGAGCAAACUUUACCCAGAUUGCCACGCUGCGUCACGGGGCCCGCGGAAAAACAACGAACAGCCACGGCGGAAAGCGGACGCCCGCGACAAUCGAAACGUCAAAAAAGCAAAAGGGAGGGGAUGCAACACGAGGACUUCCCAGGAGGUCACCCAUCCUAGUACUACUCUCGCCCAAACUCGCUUAACUUCGGAGUUCUGAUGGGAUCCGGUGCAUGUGAGUUGGUAUGAUCGCAUCCGUUAGCUUGUAACGCCAAAUUGUAUAAGAGCCACGUUUGUGCCGUGCCAUGUGACCAUGGGUUGGCUAUCCAACGCCCCCCUCCGGGCCGCGUGAAAUCACAUGCCGUCGCAUGGAAUGUCAGGCCUUGUCGUCCCCACCCCGGCCCUGUGCCACGGGCAGGCCUGUCGAGGCCCCGGUUCCAAUCGGCCGCGGGGCCUGGCUAACACAGUUGAACCGAAAAGAAGUUCCCCAACAGUUUCGGCAGUGCGUCGGUCCCGCUGUUUUUUCGCUUUCGUUCCUUUCCGGAGCCUAGUUAGUUGGAGGCGAGCUCCACGGGGUGACGUAGGACAGAUGGCGGAAGCAACUGAAGAGGAGCUGGAGCGGCGCGCGUGACGCGGCAAGUCGGGUAAACCGCAGAUCUGGGCUCCGACCUCAGAAUUGGGCCCACGAACCCUCGACCGGAAGAGAACGGCGUCACGAGUAAAACUCAUUGCGUUGCCAUGACCUGUGGGCUUUUUCGGGCAUCCGACAUCGUUUACUAGCCCGAAUCCAAUUCUCGCAGUUUUCGAAACUCUGUUAUUUUCCCACUUCAAUUUCCGCUGUUAAUCCAAGGCUUUCUAGGAGUAUUUGAGCAAACUUUACCCAGAUUGCCACGCUGCGUCACGGGGCCGCGGAAAAACAAGAACAGUCACUGCGGAAAGCGGACGUCUGCGACAAUCGAACCGUCAAAAAGCAAAAGGGAGGGGAUGCNNNNNNNNNNNNNNNNNNNNNNNNNNNNNNNNNNNNNNNNNNNNNNNNNNNNNNNNNNNNNNNNNNNNNNNNNNNNNNNNNNNNNNNNNNNNNNNNNNNNGAGUUGGUAUGAUCGCAUCCGUAGCUUGUAACGCCAAAUUGUAUAAGAGCCACGUUUGUGCCGUGCCAUGUGACCAUGGGUUGGCUAUCCAACGCCCCCUCCGGGCCGCGUGAAAUCACAUGCCGUCGCAUGGAAUGUCAGGCCUUGUCAUCCCCACCCCGGCCCUGUGCCACGGGCAGGCCUGUCGAGGCCCCGGUUCCAAUCGGCCGCGGGGCCUAGCUAACGACAAUUGAACCGAAAAGAAGUUCCCCAACAGUUUCGGCAGUGCGUCGGUCCCGCUGUUUUUUCGUUUUCGUUCCUUUCCGGAGCCUAGUUAGUUGGAGGCGAGCUCCAUGGGGUGACGUAGGACAGAUGGCGGAAGCAACUGAAGAGGAGCUGGAGCGGCGCGCGUGAAGCGGCAAGUCGGGUAAACCGCAGAUCUGGGCUUCGACCUCAGAAUUGGGCACACGAACCCUCGGCCGGAAGAGAACGGCGUCACGAGUAAAACUCAUCGCGUUGCCAUGACCUGUGGGCUUUUUCGGGCAUCCGACAUCGUUUACUAGCCCGAAAUCCAAUUCUCGCAGUUUUCGAAAACUCUGUUAUUUUCCCACUUCAAUUCCGCUGUUAAUCCAAGGCUUUCUAGGAGUAUUUGAGCAAACUUUACCCAGAUUGCCACGCUGCGUCACGGGGCCGCGGAAAAACAAAGAACAGCCACGGCGGAAAGCGGACGCCCGCGACAAUCGAAACGUCAAAAAAGCAAAAGGGAGGGGAUGCAACACGAGGACUUCCCAGGAGGUCACCCAUCCUAGUACUACUCUCGCCCAAACUCGCUUAACUUCGGAGUUCUGAUGGGAUCCGGUGCAUGUGAGUUGGUAUGAUCGCAUCCGUUAGCUUGUAACGCCAAAUUGUAUAAGAGCCACGUUUGUGCCGUGCCAUGUGACCAUGGGUUGGCUAUCCAACGCCCCCCUCCGGGCCGCGUGAAAUCACAUGCCGUCGCAUGGAAUGUCAGGCCUUGUCGUCCCCACCCCGGCCCUGUGCCACGGGCAGGCCUGUCGAGGCCCCGGUUCCAAUCGGCCGCGGGGCCUGGCUAACACAGUUGAACCGAAAAGAAGUUCCCCAACAGUUUCGGCAGUGCGUCGGUCCCGCUGUUUUUUCGCUUUCGUUCCUUUCCGGAGCCUAGUUAGUUGGAGGCGAGCUCCACGGGGUGACGUAGGACAGAUGGCGGAAGCAACUGAAGAGGAGCUGGAGCGGCGCGCGUGACGCGGCAAGUCGGGUAAACCGCAGAUCUGGGCUCCGACCUCAGAAUUGGGCCCACGAACCCUCGACCGGAAGAGAACGGCGUCACGAGUAAAACUCAUCGCGUUGCCAUGACCUGUGGGCUUUUUCGGGCAUCCGACAUCGUUUACUAGCCCGAAAUCCAAUUCUCGCAGUUUUCGAAAACUCUGUUAUUUUCCCACUUCAAUUCCGCUGUUAAUCCAAGGCUUUCUAGGAGUAUUUGAGCAAACUUUACCCAGAUUGCCACGCUGCGUCACGGGGCCGCGGAAAAACAAAGAACAGCCACGGCGGAAAGCGGACGCCCGCGACAAUCGAAACGUCAAAAAAGCAAAAGGGAGGGGAUGCAACACGAGGACUUCCCAGGAGGUCACCCAUCCUAGUACUACUCUCGCCCAAACUCGCUUAACUUCGGAGUUCUGAUGGGAUCCGGUGCAUGUGAGUUGGUAUGAUCGCAUCCGUUAGCUUGUAACGCCAAAUUGUAUAAGAGCCACGUUUGUGCCGUGCCAUGUGACCAUGGGUUGGCUAUCCAACGCCCCCCUCCGGGCCGCGUGAAAUCACAUGCCGUCGCAUGGAAUGUCAGGCCUUGUCGUCCCCACCCCGGCCCUGUGCCACGGGCAGGCCUGUCGAGGCCCCGGUUCCAAUCGGCCGCGGGGCCUGGCUAACACAGUUGAACCGAAAAGAAGUUCCCCAACAGUUUCGGCAGUGCGUCGGUCCCGCUGUUUUUUCGCUUUCGUUCCUUUCCGGAGCCUAGUUAGUUGGAGGCGAGCUCCACGGGGUGACGUAGGACAGAUGGCGGAAGCAACUGAAGAGGAGCUGGAGCGGCGCGCGUGACGCGGCAAGUCGGGUAAACCGCAGAUCUGGGCUCCGACCUCAGAAUUGGGCCCACGAACCCUCGACCGGAAGAGAACGGCGUCACGAGUAAAACUCAUUGCGUUGCCAUGACCUGUGGGCUUUUUCGGGCAUCCGACAUCGUUUACUAGCCCGAAAUCCAAUUCUCGCAGUUUUCGAAAACUCUGUUAUUUUCCCACUUCAAUUCCGCUGUUAAUUCAAGGCUUUCUAGGAGUAUUUGAGCAAACUUUACCCAGAUUGCCACGCUGCGUCACGGGGCCGCGGAAAAACAAAGAACAGCCACGGCGGAAAGCGGACGCCCGCGACAAUCGAAACGUCAAAAAAGCAAAAGGGAGGGGACGCAACACGAGGACUUCCCAGGAGGUCACCCAUCCUAGUACUACUCUCGCCCAAACUCGCUUAACUUCGGAGUUCUUAUGGGAUCCGGUGCUUGUGAGUUGGUAUGAUCGCAUCCGUUAGCUUGUAACGCCAAAUUGUAUAAGAGCCACGUUUGUGCCGUGCCAUGUGACCAUGGGUUGGCUAUCCAACGCCCCCCUCCGGGCCGCGUGAAAUCACAUGCCGUCGCAUGGAAUGUCAGGCCUUGUCAUCCCCACCCCGGCCCUGUGCCACGGGCAGGCCUGUCGAGGCCCCGGUUCCAAUCGGCCGCGGGGCCUAGCUAACGACAAUUGAACCGAAAAGAAGUUCCCCAACAGUUUCGGCAGUGCGUCGGUCCCGCUGUUUUUUCGUUUUCGUUCCUUUCCGGAGCCUAGUUAGUUGGAGGCGAGCUCCAUGGGGUGACGUAGGACAGAUGGCGGAAGCAACUGAAGAGGAGCUGGAGCGGCGCGCGUGAAGCGGCAAGUCGGGUAAACCGCAGAUCUGGGCUUCGACCUCAGAAUUGGGCACACGAACCCUCGGCCGGAAGAGAACGGCGUCACGAGUAAAACUCAUCGCGUUGCCAUGACCUGUGGGCUUUUUCGGGCAUCCGACAUCGUUUACUAGCCCGAAAUCCAAUUCUCGCAGUUUUCGAAAACUCUGUUAUUUUCCCACUUCAAUUCCGCUGUUAAUCCAAGGCUUUCUAGGAGUAUUUGAGCAAACUUUACCCAGAUUGCCACGCUGCGUCACGGGGCCGCGGAAAAACAAAGAACAGCCACGGCGGAAAGCGGACGCCCGCGACAAUCGAAACGUCAAAAAAGCAAAAGGGAGGGGAUGCAACACGAGGACUUCCCAGGAGGUCACCCAUCCUAGUACUACUCUCGCCCAAACUCGCUUCACUUCGGAGUUCUGAUGGGAUCCGGUGCAUGUGAGUUGGUAUGAUCGCAUCCGUUAGCCUGUAACGCCAAAUUGUAUAAGAGCCACGUUUGUGCCGUGCCAUGUGACCAUGGGUUGGCUAUCCAACGCCCCCCUCCGGGCCGCGUGAAAUCGCAUGCCGUCGCAUGGAAUGUCAGGCCUUGUCGUCCCCACCCCGGUCCUGUGCCACGGGCAGGCCUGUCGAGGCCCCGGUUCCAAUCGGCCGCGGGGCCUAGCUAACGACAAUUGAACCGAAAAGAAGUUCCCCAACAGUUUCGGCAGUGCGUCGGUCCCGCUGUUUUUUCGCUUUCGUUCCUUUCCGGAGCCUAGUUAGUUGGAGGCGAGCUCCACGGGGUGACGUAGGACAGAUGGCGGAAGCAACUGAAGAGGAGCUGGAGCGGCGCGCGUGAAGCGGCAAGUCGGGUAAACCGCAGAUCUGGGCUCCGACCUCAGAAUUGGGCACACGAACCCUCGGUCGGAAGAGAACGGCGUCACGAGUAAAACUCAUUGCGUUGCCAUGACCUGUGGGCUUUUUCGGGCAUCCGACAUCGUUUACUAGCCCGAAAUCCAAUUCUCGCAGUUUUCGAAAACUCUGUUAUUUUCCCACUUCAAUUCCGCUGUUAAUCCAAGGCUUUCUAGGAGUAUUUGAGCAAACUUUACCCAGAUUGCCACGCUGCGUCACGGGGCCGCGGAAAAACAAAGAACAGCCACGGCGGAAAGCGGACGCCCGCGACAAUCGAAACGUCAAAAAAGCAAAAGGGAGGGGAUGCAACACGAGGACUUCCCAGGAGGUCACCCAUCCUAGUACUACUCUCGCCCAAACUCGCUUAACUUCGGAGUUCUGAUGGGAUCCGGUGCAUGUGAGUUGGUAUGAUCGCAUCCGUUAGCUUGUAACGCCAAAUUGUAUAAGAGCCACGUUUGUGCCAUGCCAUGUGACCAUGGGUUGGCUAUCCAACGCCCCCCUCCGGGCCGCGUGAAAUCACAUGCCGUCGCAUGGAAUGUCAGGCCUUGUCGUCCCCACCCCGGCCCUGUGCCACGGGCAGGCCUGUCGAGGCCCCGGUUCCAAUCGGCCGCGGGGCCUAGCUAACGACAAUUGAACCGAAAAGAAGUUCCCCAACUGUUUCGGCAGUGCGUCGGUCCCGCUGUUUUUCGUUUUCGUCUUUUCCGGAGCAUAGUUAGCUGGAAUGCACGCUGCGUCACGGGGUCGCGGAAAAACAAGAACAGGCCACGGCGGAAAGCGGACGCCCGCGACAAUCGAAACGUCAAAAAAGCAAAAGGGAGGGGAUGCAACACGAGGACUUCCCAGGAGGUCACCCAUCCUAGUACUACUCUCGCCCAAACUCGCUUAACUUCGGAGUUCUGAUGGGAUCCGGUGCAUGUGAGUUGGUAUGAUCGCAUCCGUUAGCUUGUAACGCCAAAUUGUAUAAGAGCCACGUUUGUGCCGUGCCAUGUGACCAUGGGUUGGCUAUCCAACGCCCCCCUCCGGGCCGCGUGAAAUCACAUGCCGUCGCAUGGAAUGUCAGGCCUUGUCGUCCCCACCCCGGCCCUGUGCCACGGGCAGGCCUGUCGAGGCCCCGGUUCCAAUCGGCCGCGGGGCCUGGCUAACACAGUUGAACCGAAAAGAAGUUCCCCAACAGUUUCGGCAGUGCGUCGGUCCCGCUGUUUUUUCGCUUUCGUUCCUUUCCGGAGCCUAGUUAGUUGGAGGCGAGCUCCACGGGGUGACGUAGGACAGAUGGCGGAAGCAACUGAAGAGGAGCUGGAGCGGCGCGCGUGACGCGGCAAGUCGGGUAAACCGCAGAUCUGGGCUCCGACCUCAGAAUUGGGCCCACGAACCCUCGACCGGAAGAGAACGGCGUCACGAGUAAAACUCAUUGCGUUGCCAUGACCUGUGGGCUUUUUCGGGCAUCCGACAUCGUUUACUAGCCCGAAAUGCAAUUCUCGCAGUUUUCGAAAACUCUGUUAUUUUCCCACUUCAAUUCCGCUGUUAAUCCAAGGCUUUCUAGGAGUAUUUGAGCAAACUUUACCCAGAUUGCCACGCUGCGUCACGGGGCCGCGGAAAAACAAAGAACAGCCACGGCGGAAAGCGGACGCCCGCGACAAUCGAAACGUCAAAAAAGCAAAAGGGAGGGGAUGCAACACGAGGACUUCCCAGGAGGUCACCCAUCCUAGUACUACUCUCGCCCAAACUCGCUUAACUUCGGAGUUCUGAUGGGAUCCGGUGCAUGUGAGUUGGUAUGAUCGCAUCCGUUAGCUUGUAACGCCAAAUUGUAUAAGAGCCACGUUUGUGCCGUGCCAUGUGACCAUGGGUUGGCUAUCCAACGCCCCCCUCCGGGCCGCGUGAAAUCACAUGCCGUCGCAUGGAAUGUCAGGCCUUGUCGUCCCCACCCCGGCCCUGUGCCACGGGCAGGCCUGUCGAGGCCCCGGUUCCAAUCGGCCGCGGGGCCUGGCUAACGACAGUUGAACCGAAAAGAAGUUCCCCAACAGUUUCGGCAGUGCGUCGGUCCCGCUGUUUUUUCGCUUUCGUUCCUUUCCGGAGCCUAGUUAGUUGGAGGCGAGCUGCACGGGGUGACGUAGGACAGAUGGCGGAAGCAACUGAAGAGGAGCUGGAGCGGCGCGCGUGAAGCGGCAAGUCGGGUAAACCGCAGAUCUGGGCUCCGACCUCAGAAUUGGGCACACGAACCCUCGGCCGGAAGAGAACGGCGUCACGAGUAAAACUCAUCGCGUUGCCAUGACCUGUGGGCUUUUUCGGGCAUCCGACAUCGUUUACUAGCCCGAAAUCCAAUUCUCGCAGUUUUCGAAAACUCUGUUAUUUUCCCACUUCAAUUCCGCUGUUAAUCCAAGGCUUUCUAGGAGUAUUUGAGCAAACUUUACCCAGAUUGCCACGCUGCGUCACGGGGCCGCGGAAAAACAAAGAACAGCCACGGCGGAAAGCGGACGCCCGCGACAAUCGAAACGUCAAAAAAGCAAAAGGGAGGGGAUGCAACACGAGGACUUCCCAGGAGGUCACCCAUCCUAGUACUACUCUCGCCCAAACUCGCUUAACUUCGGAGUUCUGAUGGGAUCCGGUGCAUGGGAGUUGGUAUGAUCGCAUCCGUUAGCUUGUAACGCCAAAUUGUAUAAGAGCCACGUUUGUGCCGUGCCAUGUGACCAUGGGUUGGCUAUCCAACGUCCCCCUCCGGGCCGCGUGAAAUCACAUGCCGUCGCAUGGAAUGUCAGGCCUUGUCGUCCCCACCCCGGCCCUGUGCCACGGGCAGGCCUGUCGAGGCCCCGGUUCCAAUCGGCCGCGGGGCCUAGCUAACACAGUUGAACCGAAAAGAAGUUCCCCAACAGUUUCGGCAGUGCGUCGGUCCCGCUGUUUUUUCGCUUUCGUUCCUUUCCGGAGCCUAGUUAGUUGGAGGCGAGCUCCACGGGGUGACGUAGGACAGAUGGCGGAAGCAACUGAAGAGGAGCUGGAGCGGCGCGCGUGAAGCGGCAAGUCGGGUAAACCGCAGAUCUGGGCUCCGACCUCAGAAUAGGGCACACGAACCCUCGGCCGGAAGAGAACGGCGUCACGAGUAAAACUCAUCGCGAUGCCAUGACCUGUGGGCUUUUUCGGGCAUCCGACAUCGUUUACUAGCCCGAAAUCCAAUUCUCGCAGUUUUCGAAAACUCUGUUAUUUUCCCACUUCAAUUCCGCUGUUAAUCCAAGGCUUUCUAGGAGUAUUUGAGCAAACUUUACCCAGAUUGCCACGCUGCGUCACGGGGCCGCGGAAAAACAAAGAACAGCCACGGCGGAAGCGGACGCCCGCGACAAUCGAAACGUCAAAAAAGCAAAAGGGAGGGGAUGCAACACGAGGACUUCCCAGGAGGUCACCCAUCCUAGUACUACUCUCGCCCAAACUCGCUUAACUUCGGAGUUCUGAUGGGAUCCGGUGCAUGUGAGUUGGUAUGAUCGCAUCCGUUAGCUUGUAACGCCAAAUUGUAUAAGAGCCACGUUUGUGCCGUGCCAUGUGACCAUGGGUUGGCUAUCCAACGCCCCCCUCCGGGCCGCGUGAAAUCACAUGCCGUCGCAUGGAAUGUCAGGCCUUGUCGUCCCCACCCCGGCCCUGUGCCACGGGCAGGCCUGUCGAGGCCCCGGUUCCAAUCGGCCGCGGGGCCUGGCUAACACAGUUGAACCGAAAAGAAGUUCCCCAACAGUUUCGGCAGUGCGUCGGUCCCGCUGUUUUUUCGCUUUCGUUCCUUUCCGGAGCCUAGUUAGUUGGAGGCGAGCUCCACGGGGUGACGUAGGACAGAUGGCGGAAGCAACUGAAGAGGAGCUGGAGCGGCGCGCGUGACGCGGCAAGUCGGGUAAACCGCAGAUCUGGGCUCCGACCUCAGAAUUGGGCCCACGAACCCUCGACCGGAAGAGAACGGCGUCACGAGUAAAACUCAUUGCGUUGCCAUGACCUGUGGGCUUUUUCGGGCAUCCGACAUCGUUUACUAGCCCGAAAUCCAAUUCUCGCAGUUUUCGAAAACUCUGUUAUUUUCCCACUUCAAUUCCGCUGUUAAUCCAAGGCUUUCUAGGAGUAUUUGAGCAAACUUUACCCAGAUUGCCACGCUGCGUCACGGGGCCGCGGAAAAACAAAGAACAGCCACGGCGGAAAGCGGACGCCCGCGACAAUCGAAACGUCAAAAAGCAAAGGGAGGGGAUGCAACACGAGGACUUCCCAGGAGGUCACCCAUCCUAGUACUACUCUCGCCCAAACUCGCUUAACUUCGGAGUUCUGAUGGGAUCCGGUGCAUGUGAGUUGGUAUGAUCGCAUCCGUUAGCUUGCAACGCUAAAAGUAUAUAAGCCACGCCAAAUGGCCUGCCUAACGACAAUUGAACGCGAAAAACCCCCGAUAAUUCCGGCAGUGCGUCGGUCCCGCUCCUUCCGACACCCAGUUGAUUGGAGACGGGCUCCUCGAGGUGACGUCGGAAGCAGUUGAAGAGCAGCUGGAGCGACGCGCGUAUCGGGUGAACCGCAUAUCUGGGCUCCGACCUCAGAAUCAGGCCCACGAGCAGUCGAUUUGAAGAGAACGGCGUCACGAGUAAAACUCAUGGCGCUGCCAUGACUGACGGGCUUUUUCGGGCAUCCGACACCGUUUGCUGGGGCGAAAUUCAGUUUCGGGAAACUUUGUCACUUUCGUAUUUUGAUUCCGUUGUGGGCUUUCUGGGAGUAUUUAAGCGUACUUUAUCCCCGAUUGCCACGCUGCGUCACGGGGUCGUGGAAAAACAAAGACAGCCAGAUGAAUAAGACGACGGAAAGCAAACGCCCACGACAAUUCAAACGUCAAAAAGACAUAAAGAGGAGACGCAACACGAGGACUUCCCAGGAGGUCACCCAUCCUAGUACUACUCUCGCCCAAACUCUCUUAACUUCGGAGUUCUGGUGGGAUCCGGUGCAUGUGAGUUGGUAUGAUCGCAUCCGUUGGCUUACAACGCCUAAAAGUAUAUAAGCCACGUUUGAGCCAUGCCAUAUGGCCUACCUAACGACAAUUGAACGCGAAAAAACCCCCGAUAAUUCCGACAGUGCGUCGGUCCCGCUCCUUUCCGGCACCCAGUUAAUUGGAGACGGGCACCUCGGGGUGACGUCGGAAGCAGUUGAAGAGGAGCUGGAGCGACGCGCGUAUCGGGUAAACCUCAUAUCUGUGCUCCGACCUCAG